rnacentral:rRNA from 1 species
AACGUAGGUUCCGAGCGUUAUCCGGAUUUACUGGGCGUAAAGCGCGUUCAGGCGGUUUGGCAAGUCGGGCAUGAAAUCGUCUCGGCUCGAACCGGGAGAGGUUGUCCGAUACUGCUGGACUGGAGGCAGUAGAGGGUGGUAGGCGAAUUCCGGGUGUAGUGGUAGAAAUGCGUAGAGAGUCGGAGGAACACCAGUGGCGAAAGCGGCCACCUGGACUGUACCUGACGCUGAAACGCGAAAGCUAGGGGAGCGGAACGG